CCCUUAGACGUUCUGGGCCGCACGCGCGCUACACUGACCAGUGCAACAAGCAUCCGUCCUUGGCCGACAGGCUCGGGCAAUCUUUGAACGCUGGUCGUGAUGGGAAUAGACUUUUGCAAUUUUUGGUCUUCAACGAGGAAUUCCUAGUAAACGCAAGUCAUCAACUUGCAUUGAUUACGUCCCUGCCCUUUGUACACACCGCCCGUCGCACCUACCGAUUGAAUGGUCCGGUGAAGCCUCCGGAUUGGCGCGCACCUCGGUGCCGCCGAGAAGUUGGCUAAACCUUACCAUUUAGAGGAAGGUGAAGUCGUAACA
rnacentral:rRNA from 1 species